rnacentral:rRNA from 1 species
UACGGAGGGUGCGAGCGUUGUCCGGAAUUACUGGGCGUAAAGAGCUCGUAGGUGGUUUGUCGCGUCGUCUGUGAAAUUCCGGGGCUUAACUCCGGGCGUGCAGGCGAUACGGGCAUAACUUGAGUACUGUAGGGGAGACUGGAAUUCCUGGUGUAGCGGUGAAAUGCGCAGAUAUCAGGAGGAACACCAAUGGCGAAGGCAGGUCUCUGGGCAGUUACUGACGCUGAGGAGCGAAAGCAUGGGUAGCGAACAGGAUUAGAUACCCCGGUA